AGCCUCCCUUGCACAGUUAAUUGGAGCACAGGACUGAAUUUUGACCAAUGAAAUCUGAGUAAAAGUGACUGCCAACUCUUCAGAUUUUUCUGCAGCCUGGAAAACUAGAAAUCUCUUGAAGAGAAUGGAAAGAAUUCAUGAGGAAAUGUCACUAUUGGAGCUAAAGAACCUUCAUUUAUCUUCUCAUGAAUAGAGGUGGUCACCAACCAGGUUUCCAGGGUAUCUAAUGCAAUCUGAUACUGUGCACACAGUUGACAAUUGACCGAUGUUGUUAACAGCAGCAACUGUAUCAACUUGUGUCUCAUACCAUCUAUAAGUUUCCCAGACUGUAAAUGAGCAGAAAGAGAAAAGCACUUUCUGUGUUUGAAAUGAAUUGA